rnacentral:rRNA from 1 species
AUAGUUACCUGGUUGAUUCUGCCAGUAGUCAUAUGCUUGUCUCAAAGAUUAAGCCAUGCAUGUCUAAGUACGCACGGCCGGUACAGUGAAACUGCGAAUGGCUCAUUAAAUCAGUUAUAAUUUAUUUGAUAGUACCUUACUACUUGGAUAACCGUGGUAAUUCUAGAGCUAAUACAUGCUAAAAAUCCCGACUUCGGAAGGGAUGUAUUUAUUAGAUUAAAAACCAAUGCCCUUCGGGGCUCCUUGGUGAUUCAUGAUAACUCCUCGAAUCGCAUGGCCUUGUGCCGGCGAUGGUUCAUUCAAAUUUCUUCCCUAUCAACUUUCGAUGUUUGGGUAUUGGCCAAACAUGGUUGCAACGGGUAACGGAGGGUUAGGGCUCGACCCCGGAGAAGGAGCCUGAGAAACGGCUACUACAUCCAAGGAAGGCAGCAGGCGCGCAAAUUACCCAAUCCCGACACGGGGAGGUAGUGACAAUAAAUACUGAUACAGGGCUCUUUCGGGUCUUGUAAUUGGAAUGAGUACAAUUUAAAUCCCUUAACGAGGAACAAUUGGAGGGCAAGUCUGGUGCCAGCAGCCGCGGUAAUUCC